AGAGUUUGAUCAUGGCUCAGGACGAACGCUGACGGUGUGCUUUAGGCAUGCAAGUCGAACGAGAAAGCCCUUCGGGGUUAGUAAAGUGGCGAACGGGUGAGUAACACGUGGGCAACCUGCCCCUCGCAGGGGGACAACCGGAGGAAACUCCGGCUAAUACCCCGUACGCUUGUUGGAUCGCAUGGUCCGGCAAGGAAAGGUAGCUUCGGCCAUCCGGCGAGGGAUGGGCCCGCGUUGCAUUAGCUAGUUGGUGGGGUAACGGCCUACCAAGGCGACGAUGCGUAGCUGGUCUGAGAGGAUGAUCAGCCACACUGGGACUGAGACACGGCCCAGACUCCUACGGGAGGCAGCAGCCAGGAAUCUUGGGCAAUGGGCGAAAGCCUGACCCAGCAACACCGUGUGGGUGAUGAAGGCCUUAGGGUCGUAAAGCCCUGUUGAUAGGGACGAAGGGCGAAGGGUUAAUAGCCCCUAGCUUGACGGUACCUUUCGAGGAAGCCCCGGCUAACUACGUGCCAGCAGCCGCGGUAAUACGUAGGGGGCGAGCGUUGUCCGGAAUUAUUGGGCGUAAAGAGCGUGUAGGCGGUUCGGUAAGUCUGCUGUGAAAUCCUGGGGCUCAACCCUGGGCGUGCAGCGGAUACUGCCGGGCUAGAGGGUGGUAGAGGCGAGUGGAAUUCCGAGUGUAGCGGUGAAAUGCGCAGAUAUUCGGAGGAACACCAGUAGCGAAGGCGGCUCGCUGGGCCACACCUGACGCUGAGACGCGAAAGCGUGGGGAGCGAACAGGAUUAGAUACCCUCGUAGUCC
rnacentral:rRNA from 1 species